rnacentral:piRNA from 1 species
UAAAAAAAUGCUUAGCCAGGGUCACCUGU